UAUGACCGCCUAUCUGACUGAAUUUUGACAGUCUAAUUCGUUUUUGAAAAAGUUCUCAGGCAAAACAGCUCAAAGCGAAAGUCUGACAACGCGGGAGGACGGAACAACUCGUGUUAAAGAGGUGCUUUCACUGCAUGCGACACCGGGCAGACAAUGUAGCUUGGAGGUUGUGAAGAGGACACAGUUUUGAACGUGACUUCUAGGCUGUCACCACAAGAAAGAAAAACCCUUAUUCUUUAAGGAAUACAGGAAUCCUUCCGCGCCUUCAGAAAUGCAUUCUGCAUUUCUCCAAAUCCUUUCCUCUCCGAUCCACUAGGUGGCAGCAGAAGCAUUAAUUUGUGGCACUUUGGCACUCAGAACCCUGAUCCUACACCCUACUCCUGCUACCCCAUUCGCCUGCCCCUGUUCCCUCUCCUCUGGCUGGCCCCUUUCAGGCCCUCCUGGAGCCCCGAGAAUCUU